rnacentral:rRNA from 1 species
GAUGAACGCUGGCGGCGUGCCUAAUACAUGCAAGUCGAGCGAACGGACGAGAAGCUUGCUUCUCUGAUGUUAGCAGCGGACGGGUGAGUAACACGUGGAUAACCUACCUAUAAGACUGGGAUAACUUCGGGAAACCGGAGCUAAUACCGGAUAAUAUUUUGAACCGCAUGGUUCAAAAGUGAAAGACGGUCUUGCUGUCACUUAUAGAUGGAUCCGCGCUGCAUUAGCUAGUUGGUAAGGUAACGGCUUACCAAGGCAACGAUGCAUAGCCGACCUGAGAGGGUGAUCGGCCACACUGGAACUGAGACACGGUCCAGACUCCUACGGGAGGCAGCAGUAGGGAAUCUUCCGCAAUGGGCGAAAGCCUGACGGAGCAACGCCGCGUGAGUGAUGAAGGUCUUCGGAUCGUAAAACUCUGUUAUUAGGGAAGAGCAUAUGUGUAAGUAACUGUGCACAUCUUGACGGUACCUAAUCAGAAAGCCACGGCUAACUACGUG